CAUCGCCCGUGUGAUACCCCCGCACGGGGAGCUGGUGCUGGGCUGCAGGCCCAGGGAUGCCACCCCCGGGGCUGCCCGGGGGAAAGUGGAGCUCUACCUCUUCCGCAUGUGGGAGGACGUGGGAGAGCACCAGACGUGCGAGGAUGGAUCGGUGGUGGGCUGGGAGUCCCGGCUGUGGGGCGUCACACACACCAGGGCCCGGGUUCGGGAUGAACUGCUACAUUGUGUUCCAGACACUGGUGCCAGAGAAUUUGGUUCCACGCCUGGCAAGACACGGAGGAAGCGUCACCAUAAAGACACACACAGAAACAGUAGUAACAGUGAAAGUAACAGUGAAAGUAAGAAAAGGGACAAGAGAGAUGGUAAGAUUUGUUGGUAUUGGUGUUGGUGUUGGUGUUGGUGUUGGUGCUGGUGUUGGUGUUGGUGUUGGUGUUGGUGUUGGUGUUGGUGUUGGUGUUGGUGUUGGUGUUGGAGUGUUGUUGCCAGUGUUUGUGUCUGUGGUUACUGUGGGAGUGGGUGGGGCUCUGGGCACUGUCCGUCCAGUGACUCACCAAACAAAUUCACA
rnacentral:lncRNA from 1 species